rnacentral:lncRNA from 1 species
GGACGCAGAGGGAGGCGUAUCGCUGCACCUACAGAGAGCAACACCUCAUGUGAAAUGGGGGUCACAGAUAUGCGAGUGCAAGAGGAAGCUCAGCGUGCGUAGGAGUCAAACACUCUGCCUUUUAUUGGCACGCAGGAUUCACUGCCUCAGCAAAAGUGUGCCGGCACGAUGGCAGUCGCACAGCAGCUCCUCGUACCGUUGACCCUUCUUUUGACGUCCUGUAGCGCGUGGGCCACCGAUGGUAAAAGCAGGAUUCUGAAAAUUAAGGAGGGAGCAUCAUUCACUGUGCGGUGCAUCUCAUCAGAGCAAGGCUUAAUGUCAAUGGAUCUGCUCCAGAGGUUGGAGGAGGAAACGCACGUUCUUCACUUCUAUGAGAAAACUAGGAAAGUGAGAUUGGCAAAGAACUACGAAGGCAGGGUGAAGGAGAAGGGAGAAAUGACCAAACUCUCCAUCACGCUCAUUAAUGCUACAGCCGAUGACUCCGGUAUCUACUCGUGUGUAUACAACAAGGUCAACGCAGGCACCCAAGAUAUAGAGAAGUUUCCAGGCAUGGAAGACACUCUGGUUGUAGUGAUGGGUGGUGUGAAUACUUGUCCACCUGCUGACCACACACUAAUGACACCCAGCCUUCUGAUAGCCAGCGCAAUCUCUGGCGGCUCAGUGUUCCUGCUGUGUGUCGCAGUCCUACUCAUCUGUCUCGUUCCCAGGGUGAGCGUGUCAUACGAAUUUGGGCGACUCGGGAAACUUACACAACGUUCACAUUCGCGAUCCCCUCCAAGUGACUAUUUAGGACCACUGCUAAAAUCUACAACUUUUUUUUUUUUUUUUAAAAACCUACAACUUUCUAAACCAAAAUAUCUUUCACCGCAUUCAUUUUUUUUUACCUGACCUUGUAUCCUGUUUGUUUUAUAAGGUGAAAAAAUUCUGCGCAAGAAAAAGCCACAGGAAGGCACCUGAUCUCAUCUAUGAAGACAUGGGAAGGAAGUGCUACACUCCUGGCUGACUAUACCCUGCUGGGCUGUCCAGUUUACUCCUCCGCUUCACUAAGAACGGUCAGAGAAGCAGAAGGAGGACUUCCCUCAGUGUCAAACUGUCCUGCUUUUGCAUAAAUGCAUGCACAGAAAAAAAAGACAUAUUUAAGUGCAACUCUUGCUUGUCAGGUAGAAAAAGUUGCGCCGUUAUACACGUACGAUUGUUUUUAUCGUCCUUUACAGUCAUGUUUUCCAAGAGAAGGUUCAUGUAAAACAUAACAACUCAAAAAUGUGGAGGAUGAAGAGGGAUGACUUGUUUCCUGUUUGGGGCUUUUUCAGUGGUUUUAUUGAUAAUAUGUGUUGUUUCUCGUCAGGCUCCCGCCUACAUAGCCGACACAAUGGUUUACUCUUUUGUACUUGAUUUUUAUACAUAUUUUUUACAGCUUUUUAUUUAUAGGUUUCAGCACUGGUGCACACUUAAAAAUGAAUAGGCAUGUAUAUGGAAAUGGAAGAUGACAUAUUUAAUAAAAUUCUAGGAACGCUGGAAAGGAUGUCCGCG